GUGCUCACUUCAGCAGCACAUAUACUAAAAUUAAAACAACACAGAGAACACUACCUGGCCCCUGUGCAAGGAUGACAUGCACAUUUGUGAAGCAUUCAAUAUUUUU
rnacentral:snRNA from 1 species